AGAAAAAAAAAGAAAGAAGUUGCAAUGCCAUCUAUCAAACAAAUUUAACAAUCAAGUGGAUUUGAACAUCUCACCUCAGAGGAGUCUACUAAAUAUUGAAUUUGUCGAUCGAUUGUUAGGCUUGCCUAUUUCGAUCGCCAUCAAACAGUUAAUGGCGACGCGUGGUUGUUAUGUACACAAAUCAUAUUAUCAAAUUCGUGUUCUCAUCAUAGUUCAGCUGCCUUCCCUUUCCGGUUACAAUGAAGAAAAAUCGUUUGAGUCGAAAAUAUUAAAAGAACUUACUGGAAUUUGUCACAAGAAUGGAGAGGUUUGCAGAAAAAGACUUAUAUUCCAGAAACAACUCAUUAAUCAUUUCAGAGAGCAGGGCCAAAGGAUAUCGUUAAUACAUCCCAAAUGAUUAACUGUGUCCGCCAGUAAGCUUUGAACGAUAAACAAGAACUUCAUGGUUUUGAAGACUGAAGUUCUCCCUUGUUGAAAGGACAUUCCAAAAUCUCCAUUGCCACAAGAUAAAAUUUUUAUUCUAAACUGAUGCCCACAAAAUCUAUUUACACACAAUUGGGUGGAUGUGAGGGUUGCGUGGAUAUUGCCGUCAAUACUGCAGAACAGGAACAUGAAACAACUGCUUGUACAGUCCUUGGAAGACCUUGCUGCCAAUACGAUAGCUCCUGCCAGAAUUGUAUAAGGAACAUACCAAUUGAUGAAUAUUUGUUUCAUAUAAGCUAUAAAAAUAAGAAUUAUUUUAUCCUUAUUUAUGUUUUCUUUUUCCUUAAUGUAGAUUUAUAGUAACGGUGGAUUUCAAAAGGUUUCUGGAAUAUGUUGCCGAAAAAAUUGUAACGAUUGCAAGCGUGAAAUUGAGUUUAACGCUUCAGUCACAUUCCCUUGUAUUACGGAUUGGACUCUGAACAUUGCUGAGAUGGCCACUGAUGUGCAGUUUUGAACUGCGAAUUCCCGGAUUGCCUUUGAAUUAUUGCCGAUGACAUUUUAAUCCUGAUGUUGGUAGUUAUCUGUUGUACGUAGUUGAACCUCAUAUUUACCAGAGUUUUGUUUA